AACGAAUAUUCUUUUUUCUUGAACAUUAGGAAAUUGUGUUAGGAUUCAGAUAUCGAAAGGUAUGGAAAAAAAAAGGGGGAGACGAUAGGAGCAGAAGAAAGUGAAAGGGGGGCAAAGAAGUAAAAAGACAAGAAUUAAAAAUAUUCGGAUUUGCAAAAAAAGGAAAAGUCAAGUGUUCUUUUUUUAGAAUCCAAACCAUCCAAAGUGGAACAUUUUAAGAAAGUACAGUGAGAAUAAUGGUAAAUCAGAUAGGCGAAGUAUCAUAGAAUUUGUUAGUUACAAUGAAUGAAAC